GGGUUGUGAGGUUAAGCGACUAAGCGUACACGGUGGAUGCCCUGGCAGUCAGAGGCGAUGAAGGGCGUGCUAAUCUGCGAUAAGCGCCGGUAAGGUGAUAUGAACCGUUAUAACCGGCGAUACCCGAAUGGGGAAACCCAGUGUGACUCGUCACACUAUCAUUAACUGAAUCCAUAGGUUAAUGAGGCGAACCGGGGGAACUGAAACAUCUAAGUACCCCGAGGAAAAGAAAUCAACCGAGAUUCCCCCAGUAGCGGCGAGCGAACGGGGAGGAGCCCAGAGCCUGAAUCAGCAUGUGUGUUAGUGGAAGCGUCUGGAAAGGCGCGCGAUACAGGGUGACAGCCCCGUACACAAAAGCGCAUGUGCUGUGAGCUCGAUGAGUAGGGCGGGACACGUGGUAUCCUGUCUGAAUAUGGGGGGACCAUCCUCCAAGGCUAAAUACUCCUGACUGACCGAUAGUGAACCAGUACCGUGAGGGAAAGGCGAAAAGAACCCCGGCGAGGGGAGUGAAAAAGAACCUGAAACCGUGUACGUACAAGCAGUGGGAGCACCCUUUGGGUGUGACUGCGUACCUUUUGUAUAAUGGGUCAGCGACUUAUAUUCUGUAGCAAGGUUAACCGAAUAGGGGAGCCGGAGGGAAACCGAGUCUUAACCGGGCGUUAAGUUGCAGGGUAUAGACCCGAAACCCGGUGAUCUAGCCAUGGGCAGGUUGAAGGUUGGGUAACACUAACUGGAGGACCGAACCGACUAAUGUUGAAAAAUUAGCGGAUGACCUGUGGCUGGGGGUGAAAGGCCAAUCAAACCGGGAGAUAGCUGGUUCUCCCCGAAAGCUAUUUAGGUAGCGCCUCGUGAAUUCAUCUCCGGGGGUAGAGCACUGUUUCGGCUAGGGGGCCAUCCCGGCUUACCAACCCGAUGCAAACUGCGAAUACCGGAGAAUGUUAUCACGGGAGACACACGGCGGGUGCUAACGUCCGUCGUGAAGAGGGAAACAACCCAGACCGCCAGCUAAGGUCCCAAAGUCAUGGUUAAGUGGGAAACGAUGUGGGAAGGCCCAGACAGCCAGGAUGUUGGCUUAGAAGCAGCCAUCAUUUAAAGAAAGCGUAAUAGCUCACUGGUCGAGUCGGCCUGCGCGGAAGAUGUAACGGGGCUAAACCAUGCACCGAAGCUGCGGCAGCGACACUGUGUGUUGUUGGGUAGGGGAGCGUUCUGUAAGCCUGUGAAGGUGUGUCGUGAGGCAUGCUGGAGGUAUCAGAAGUGCGAAUGCUGACAUAAGUAACGAUAAAGCGGGUGAAAAGCCCGCUCGCCGGAAGACCAAGGGUUCCUGUCCAACGUUAAUCGGGGCAGGGUGAGUCGACCCCUAAGGCGAGGCCGAAAGGCGUAGUCGAUGGGAAACGGGUUAAUAUUCCCGUACUUGGUGUUACUGCGAAGGGGGGACGGAGAAGGCUAUGUUGGCCGGGCGACGGUUGUCCCGGUUUAAGCGUGUAGGUGUGUGUUCCAGGUAAAUCCGGUUCACUUUAACACUGAGGCGUGA
rnacentral:rRNA from 2 species